rnacentral:tRNA from 1 species
AAAAUUUUAGUUUAUAAAAAACUUCUUAUUUACAAUAAGAUAAAUUAAUUAAAUUUAAGAAUUUUA